AACGAACGCUGGCGGCAGGCUUAACACAUGCAAGUCGAACGCGAAAGCGCCCUUCGGGGUUAGUAGAGUGGCAGACGGGUGAGUAACGCGUGGGAAUUUACCUUUUAGUAUGGAAUAGCUGGGAAACCGGUGUUAAUACCGUAUACGCCUUUUGAGAGUGGAUCUCAUUAGGGAAAUUUAUCGCUAAAAGAUAAGCCCGCGUUGGAUUAGCUAGUUGGUGAGGUAAAGGCUCAAAGGCGACGAUCCAUAGCUGGUCUGAGAGGAUGAUCAGCCACACUGGAACUGAGACACUCCAGACUCCUACGGGAGGCAGCAGUGAGGAAUAUUGCACAAUGGGCGCAAGCCUGAUAGCCAUGCCGCGUGAUUGAAGAAGGCCUUAGGGUUGUAAAGAUCUUUCAUCGGUGAAGAAUGACAUUAACCGAAGAAGAAGCUCCGGCUAACUCCGUGCCAGCAGCCGCGGUAAUAGAGGGGGCUAGCGUUGUUCGGAAUUACUGGGCGUAAAGCGUACGUAGGCGGAAUGAUUUUGGGGGUGAAAUCCCGAGGCUUAACCUCGGAACUGCCUUCAACACUGUUAUUCUUGAUCGAGAGAGGUAAGUGGAAUUCCUAGUGUACAGGUGAAAUUGGUAGAUAUUAGGAAGAACCAGUGGCGAAGGCGACUUACUGGCUCGAUACUGACGCUGAGGUACGAAAGUGUGGGGCAAACAGGAUUAGAUACCCUGGUAGUCCACACCGUAAACGAUGAGAGCUAGCUGUCGUAGUUUACUAUUCGGUGGCGCAGUUAACGCAUUAAGCUCUCCGCCUGGGGAGUACGGUCAAGAUUAAAACUCAAAGGAAUUGACGGGGGCCCCGCACAGCGGUGGAGCAUGUGGUUAUUCGAGGCAACGCGAAGAACCUUACGGGCCCUUAACAUUGAUAGAAUCUCUAGAGAUAGAGUGCCUUCGGGAGCUUGAAAAUAGGUGCUGCACGGCUGUCGUCAGCUCGUGUCGUGAUGUUGGGUUAAGUCCCGCAACGAGCGCAACCCUCGCCAUUAGUUGCUAACAGGUAACUGAGAACUCUAAUGGGACUGCCGGUGAUAAGCCGGAGGAAGGUGAGGACGACGUCAACAUCAUGGCCCUUAUGGGCCGGGCUACACACGUGCUACAAUGGCAGUGACAGUGGGCAUACCUCGCGAGAGGAUGCUAAUCUCUAAAAACUGUCUCAGUUCGAAUUGGAGUCUGCAUCGACUCCAUGAAGUUGGAAUCGCUAGUAAUCGUGGAUCAGCAUGCCACGGUGAAUACUCCCGGGCCUUGUACACACCGCCCGUCACACCAUGGGAGUUGGUUUUACCCGAAGACUGAGCAAACCCGCAAGGGAUGCAGCAGGCCACGGUAGGGUUAGCGACUGGGG
rnacentral:rRNA from 1 species